rnacentral:rRNA from 1 species
UUCGGAUUGUAGUCUGCAACUCGACUACAUGAAGCUGAAAUCGCUAGUAAUCGCAGAUCAGAAUGCUGCGGUAAAUACGUUCCCGGGUCUUGUACACACCGCCCGUCACACCAUGGGAGUCGGAAAUGCCCGAAGCCGGUGACCAAACCAAUAAGGAAGGAGCCGUCGAAGGCAGGUCUGAUAACUGGGGUGAAGUCGUAACAAGGUAGC